CUCGUUGUUGACAAAGGUGCUGGUACUUUUUUGGAGGGAUUUCAGUUUGCAAGUUCUCUCUGUCUGAAUUGUUCUUUGAAAAUGGACUUCAUUAAUUCAAGAAUAAUGGCGGGAAAAAAGUAAAAAAAAAAAAAAUUUAAUUAUGUAAUCCAAGUCGGGGGAUGAGUUACGUAACGACCACGUGUUGAGGGAAGGCGGAUUUUGUAACGCCAUCCGGAUAUUACCAUACAGACGCACACAGCGGAACGGUAACCUCGUGUGCAACUUCAACACACACACACAAAAAGGAAAUGGUGUGACGAAUUUCGAUUUUGGAAAAAAGAGAAAACGAGUGACAUGAGACGACGGACAAGAGCAGACGGAACUGUCGUGUUUCAUAGUUGCUUAUGCUUGACCUCGUGGUGCAUCUGUUAUCAGCACGGUAUCGAAUUUCCAUAUCCAAUUAAGAAGAAAAAGACUCAAUUUACACCAAAAUUGGAUAGGGGUAAAACAAAACCCUGUGCCGACAAAUAACAGGGCAAAUUGAGUGUCGAAAAAGAAAAUGAAUUCAGAAAUGAGUGGGGGAGGUGGCGGAAAUGGGGGGGGGAGAGAAAAACGAAAAAAAAAAGGUAAAGUAAAGAAAUUAGAAUUUAAGAAAAAAAAGGGGUAGGUAGAGAAAAAACUAAAGAAAAAAAAAGGGGGGAAUCUGUUAUGAAGAAGAAAAAAACCCAAAAAAAAAAAAGAAAAAUGAAACUUGUUUUGGGGUUCGGAAUUUGUUUCAUCCUCCUACUGCUGGCCAAUCCAGGUGAGAAAAUGUUCAGAUUGAGUGAGAAAGAAAAUGGCGUGUGUACACAGGGUUAUGGGACAGGUAAGGGCAUUGGGAGUUGAAAGCCUCUCAAUUCACAACGGGAUCUGACCCUGAUUUAUUUUUAUUUUUCUCCACCUCAUUUUGCCCAUCACGUUUUCAACCCCUUUUUUUUCAAUGUUAUUUUCACCUUCGAUUUGACGAAAUUUGUUUUUUGUUGUCCAUCUCACGAACGGACUCCAUUUGUUUGUUUUUUUAAAAUCAAGGUUAAGAAGCUUUGCCGGUCUGUACGAGCAGCCGCGUGGGGGAGUUGUCAUGGAGCGCUCGCAGUGGCGACUUCCAUCAUCCCCGCAAAGAAAAAUGUCGACGAGAGAUUUCAAACGAAAGGGAAAGGAGACAACCGUAACAAAAAGAAGAAGACAGCGUUUUUAUGGCAGGGGGAAGUUGUUUGCCGGUGCACGGCUCCACGUCGCCGGCCUAUAGACCGCAAGACGCGGGCUAAACAAGUUUGAAAGCCGCGUUACCGUACACUGGGUUUUAACCUUGUAAAUAAAAAAACGAACGAAGAGUGAAAAUGUCGUCCGGAGGGGGGAGCGCGGAAUAAUACAAGUCGAGGAGUAAGAGCCCGGCAUUCCGGCACCCAAUCCAUCGACAUACGGCCUUGAAAUAGUCAAGUCUCUCUCUUCUCUCCUCGUUUUCUUUUUUUUUUUUUUCACUCUCUCUCUCACUAGAGAAGAUAGAAAUAUAAAUAAAAUGUAUAAAAUUGUA
rnacentral:lncRNA from 1 species